rnacentral:rRNA from 1 species
AAGGAAUAAGGGUGCAAACCCGCCGGAGGAUUGGAAUAUGUCCUAUUAGCUAGUUGGCGGGAUAAAAGCCCACCAAGGCGAUGAUAGGUAGCUGGUCUAAGAGGAUGAACAGCCACAAUGGGAUUGAGAUACGGCCCAUAUUCCUACGGGAAGCAGCAGUAGGGAAUCUUCCACAAUGGGCGAAAGCCUGAUGGAGCAAUGCCAUGUGAACGAUGAAGGCCAGACAGGUCGUAAAGUUCUUUUAGAGGGGAAAAAUUUGAUGGUACCCUCUGAAUAAGUGACAGCAAACUAUGUGCCAGCAGCUGCGGUAAUACAUAGGUCGCGAGCGUUAUUCGGAUUUAUUGGGCGUAAAGCAAGCGCAGGCGGAUGAAUAAGUUCUGCAUUAAAAGCAGCUGCUUAACAGUUGUUUGUGCCGAAUACUAUUCAUCUAGAAUGUGGUAGGAAGUUUUGGAAUUAAAUAUGGAGCGGUGGAAUGUGUAGAUAUAUUUAAGAACACCAGAGGCGAAGGCGAAAACUUAGGCCAUUAUUGACGCUUAGGCUUGAAAGUGUGGGUAGCAAAUGGGAUUAGAUACCCCAGUAGUCCACACCGUAAACGAUGGGUAUUAGAUGUCGGGAUUUGUGUUUCGGCGUUGUAGCUUACGUGUUAAAUACCCCGCCUGGGUAGUACAUAUGCAAAUAUGAAACUCAAAGGAAUUGACGGGGACCUGAACAAGUGGUGGAACAUGUUGCUUAAUUCGAUAAUACACGAAAAACCUUACCAAGGUUUGACAUCCUUUGCAAAGCCAUAGAAAUAUGGUGGAGGUUAUCAGAGUGACAGGUGGUGCAUGGUUGUCGUCAGCUCGUGUCAUGAGAUGUUUGGUUAAGUCCCGCAACGAGCGCAACCCUACUCUUUAGUUGAUUGUCUAAAGAGACUGAACAGUAAUGUAUAGGAAGGAUGGGAUCACGUCAAAUCAUCAUGCCCCUUAUGCCU